rnacentral:tRNA from 3 species
UCCGGUAUGGUGUAGUGGCUAACAUUUCGCGCUCUCAUAACUUGAGAGAAAAGUACCGCGGAGCCCAGGGUUCGAUUCCCUGUACCGGAG